rnacentral:lncRNA from 1 species
GCAGCUGGUGUAGCCAAAAACUUGAACAGAGUGGGUCACUAUGUAAAAGAGACCCUUGGUGACAUGCUUAAUAGGCGAUCGAAGUGAAAGAGGAGUGUGCCAGUUCCAUGACUUGAUCUACUAAGAAGGGGAUUUUUUUUUUCUUCACCUUAGUUGCAUGGCCAAAUAGCAUAAGAGAAGCACCUCCUGAUGUUAAUUUUUUUCCUGGUUACAUGGCAUAAAACAAUAUAUACAAGGAUGACAUGCUUAAUAGGCGAUCGAAGUGAAAGAGGAGUGUGCCAGUUCCAUGACUUGAUCUACUAAGAAGGGGAUUUUUUUUUUCUUCACCUUAGUUGCAUGGCCAAAUAGCAUAAGAGAAGCACCUCCUGAUGUUAAUUUUUUUCCUGGUUACAUGGCAUAAAACAAUAUAUACAAGGAUGCUUAAUGUAUGUAGAACUUGUGCAUUGUAGCAUUUUGUGUGUUUUUCUCAUUUACCUUAUUUGGCUGUUUUUUGUUUUUUCUUGAGG